rnacentral:rRNA from 1 species
UGAGGAAUAUUGGACAAUGGGUGAGAGCCUGAUCCAGCCAUCCCGCGUGAAGGACGACUGCCCUAUGGGUUGUAAACUUCUUUUAUACUGGGAUAAACCUACCCUCGUGAGGGUAGCUGAAGGUACAGUAUGAAUAAGCACCGGCUAACUCCGUCAGCAGCCAGCGGCGUAAUACGGAGGGUGCAAGCGUUAUCCGGAUUUAUUGGGUUUAAAGGGUCCGUAGGCGGGCUCGUAAGUCAGUGGUGAAAUCUCAUAGCUUAACUAUGAAACUGCCAUUGAUACUGCGGGUCUUGAGUAAAGUAGAAGUGGCUGGAAUAAGUAGUGUAGCGGUGAAAUGCAUAGAUAUUACUUAGAAACCAACUUGCGAAGGCAGGUCACUAUGUUUUAACUGACGCUUGAUGGACGAAAAGCGUGGGGAGCGAACAGGAUUAGAUACCCUGGUAGUCCACGCCGUAAACGAUGCUAACUCGUUUUU